GUGCUGAAAUAUUGAGUCUAAUAAAUCAUUAAAAAUAUUUAUUGUUAAUCCUUUUAACUUCACAGAAGACAAAACAAGACAUUAUUGGCUCUAUCCUCUAAAACAGGGGGACUUACUGCUUUUUGAUGAUCUUUAAAAUCAAAUUUAAAUUCAAAAUUGUAGGUGUUUGGGACCAUUGCAAAGAUAAAAUGAGGACUUUUACAUGUCCACUUUUAAUGUUUGUCAUUCUAUUUGACAAUUUAAACAAAGCACUUCAGGACAAUGCUGCUUUUCAUCACAAGUGACUAUAUUCACCCUUUCUGCUGCUGACUAGUAUGUACAUCUGUAAAGAGUUGUGUGAAAUAACAUUCUAGAGUAGAAAGUCUUAGCAGGGGUCUGUGGUUUAAUUUCGAUCCGUUUUAGGAGCCACGACAACAUAAUCUGAAGGAACCUCCCGUCUCCUUUUAGAGAAAAGUCAUAAAUGACUGAGAAAUUGAAAAAAAAACAAAAAAAACAUUUGUUUUCUGCUGUAAUGGUCGGUUAUAUUUGUAUUUAAUGCUUUUGGCCAAUUGUGUUGUUUAAACUACUGUGUGUGUCCCCAUGCUAGAUGAUAUCUCUAAUUUAUUGGCCUGAUUUGUGUGAGUGAAUGCGAUUGUGUGUGCAAUGAUGAUGAAUGCCAGUUAGUGUUGUUAAAUUGCUUUGAUAUUGAUAGAGUUCCUCAAAGAAUAUAAAAAAAAAAAAAUAUUGUAGAUUUUGAUUCAUAUUGUGGAAUUAAAACUGAGUUGAUCUCGAGUUAAGUGCA